AAGACCUCUCAGGAAUGCUGGCAUGAGACAAGGAGAAAUGCCAGAACACCAAUUCUCUGGUGCAAAGCUUCUUGUUCUGAUACUUUAGCUAAGAUGUGCCUAGGCACUGGAUCCUGGAGAUGCAAAUGUCAGAGAAAGAUACAUGAGCAGUAGGUUCUGGAUGAGGAGGUGACAUUCAGAAUGCCCUUUCCAUCACAUGCCAAAGCAGCUGAACAGCUUCAGUUACAGAACAGGGCCUGGAGUCCAGUAGAACUAGAAGCAAACCACAGCACAGGCAGAAGAGGCAGAAUCAGAGAAAUCCCUGGAUAAAGAUGGUCCUGCACAGACAUAAGGUGUGGGCAAAGUGCUGAUGUGAUGACAUCCAAGCAUGCUGAAAACAGGUCCCAUCCCACUUUCUAUUUAAAAAUCCUGUUCAUGUGGACACUCAGACAGGCUCUUUCUCCUUAGGAUGCUGAGAUACCAGUGUCAUCUCUUUCACUUUUCCUAUGUCUGCUAAACUGUUUGGCAUUAUGUCCAGAAUAGUGAAGGGCAGUCAUUGCCAAGUCCUUCCCCUGCUUAUCACUUACUGUUUGCAGGAAUGUUUCAGAAAAGGAUGUAAUUUCAUCAAAGAUUGCCUAAAUUCACUUCUACUGGGAAAUUAGUAUUUAGUAUCAGUGCCCUUAUAUUUCAGGGAAAGAAAAAAAUUAUUUAGUUCAGUGCCUUGAUUCUGCCUUAAAAACAUGUGAGAACUAGCUAUGGAAAAUCACUUUCUGGUCUAAUGUUUUUUCUUGCCAGACUCUGUAACUCAUACAGAGUAGAGUAGUAUCCCCCCAAAAUAAAUGGCAAUAUUUCAAUUCCAGAAUCAGGACAUUAACAUAUAGCAUUUUUUAUGUAAAAAAACCCCCAACACCAUCACCCUAAAACAGCAAAGGCUGGGCUAGUGACAGACCCUUUCCUGGGAAAUACAAAAAUCAUGUGGGUUAGAACUACACUUAUGAUUCUUCCAGAAAGUGCAAUGAUGUAGGAAGGAGUCUGAAGUUUCCUGACUUGCUCAUGAUUUCCCCACUGCCAAAAAAAGGAUCGCAAAUCCUUCCAGGGCUUUCUCUCAAGUGCUCUUGUUGGCCAUGUUGUUAGGGUAGGGCCUGCCUAGAGAGGUCAGUUUGCUCUGCAGCCUGUGAUGGACGUUCUGACAGGGAACACUCAGCCCCUGCUGCAGCAGCUUUUCUGCUGCCUCUGUGUAAAAUGAGAGCUGCCAGGAAUGUCAGCACAGGGCAAGCAGAAAUGUCAGAACAACGCUCUGUAGCAACACUGCUCAUCCCUGUACUUCUACUAGGAUGUGGCUGGACACUGAGCCCCAGAGAUGCCAACAGCAGUGGAAAAGCUUGGAGUAGGAGAUUCAGUCCAAGGAGAUGACCCUUGGGAUGCCCUUUCAAUCCCCCACCAAAGGAGCUGAGGGACUCCUGUUACAGAGCAGACUCUGCACUCUUCAGCAAGGGCUUGAUCUUGAAGAAGAGCUUCAUCCAGGGCCAGUGUUUGACAUUCAUGAAUGCACGAAUGUUGUACUGGAUGCAGAAGAUGGACUCUCUGAAAGGAAGAAAGAGUGAAGUCUCUACUGUACCCGGAAAAGAGCCGAGACAGUCUGGAAAGAAGAACCCUUCUUCUUGGCACCUUUCUUGCCUGCACCACUGGCCUCGGCUAAAUUAAAAAUAAAUAAAACAGAUUUUAGAUUUUUG